AUAAGAGAGGGGGGGAGGCAAACUCUCUCUAUCACCAAGUUCACCUCUUUGAAGAUCGCUCAUUUUGUUAUCACUUGCAGCUUCUGCUGACGGCACAACCGAAGGUAAAAAGCUAGAGAGGGCUGGAAGUUUGGCAGGUCGGGAUGAGGAACUAAAGGGAUCUUGCAUGCAAGAAUCUGAACCUGAAUCAAAUCAGGAAGGAUGAAACUCUUCUGGUAUUCGGAUCAGGUAUCAAUUCUCUUCGGUUAAAGAAGUUUUAAAAGGAAUCUUCUAGCAAAACUCAAGGUACAAGAAAGAGGGGAAGGGUGACAAGAGUGGAGCAAUCAAGUUAGGUGUCAUAAGGAACCACAAGGAUGUAGUUGAAUACCUUGAGGGUGUGUUUGGUACAAGAGAAAUUUUUUGGUGACCGGGAAUCAUGAUUAAUGGGAAUUCAGUAGAAAUUGAAUAUACUUGGAAUCUUACGAAAGAUGUGUUUGGUUCGCCAAAAUAUUACCGGGAAUAUUGGGUAACAAAGAAGACAGAGGAAAAGCCACUAUUCAAAUCACUGAGAAAGAAUGAUAGCAUUAUUCGAAAGAAAUUAAUUAGUUGAAAGGUCUUCCAGAUGUUGCUAACCGAAUCUUAACUUAUGGUUGUGCAUUUUGGUGCCGUUAUUGGACUCUUGUAAAUAUGUCUAGAUAUUUUCCUUGUCGCAACUAGUGUGGACCUGCCAAUAUUUAUGUCUUUUGUAAUGAAGAAUAGCUAGAGCAGUAAUAUUUUGAUGGAUAGAGACUGAGUACUUUUGAAAGCUAAAGUG